rnacentral:rRNA from 1 species
GAUGAACGCUGGCGGCGUGCCUAAUACAUGCAAGCCGAGCGAAUGGAUUAAGAGCUUGCUCUUAUGAAGUUAGCGGCGGACGGGUGAGUAACACGUGGGUAACCUGCCCAUAAGACUGGGAUAACUCCGGGAAACCGGGGCCAAUACCGGAUAAUAUUUUGAACUGCAUGGUUCAAAAUUGAAAGGCGGCUUCGGCUGUCACUUAUGGCUGGACCCGCGUCGCAUUAGCGAGUUGGUGAGGUAACGGCUCACCAAGGCAACGAUGCGUAGCCGACCUGAGAGGGUGAUCGGCCACACUGGGACUGAGACACGGCCCAGACUCCUACGGGAGGCAGCAGUAGGGAAUCUUCCGCAAUGGACGAAAGUCUGACGGAGCAACGCCGCGUGAGUGAUGAAGGCUUUCGGGUCGUAAAACUCUGUUGUUAGGGAAGAACAAGUGCUAGUUGAAUAAGCUGGCACCUUGACGGUACCUAACCAGAAAGCCACGGCUAACUACGUGCCAGCCGCCGCCGUAA